UACGGAGGGUGCGAGCGUUGUCCGGAAUCGCUGGGCGUAAAGGGCGCGUAGGCGGCCUGAUAAGUAGGGGGUGAAAUCCUGCGGCUUAACCGCAGGGCUGCCUUCUAAACUGUCAGGCUGGAGCACAGUAGAGGCAGGUGGAAUUCCCGGUGUAGCGGUGGAAUGCGUAGAGAUCGGGAAGAACAUCAGUGGCGAAGGCGGCCUGCUGGGCUGUUGCUGACGCUGAGGCGCGACAGCGUGGGGAGCAAACGGG
rnacentral:rRNA from 1 species